rnacentral:rRNA from 1 species
AUUGAACGCUGGCGGCAGGCCUAACACAUGCAAGUCGAACGAGUGGCGGACGGGUGAGUAAUGUCUGGGAAACUGCCCGAUGGAGGGGGAUAACUACUGGAAACGGUAGCUAAUACCGCAUACCAUCGGAUGUGCCCAGAUGGGAUUAGCUAGUAGGGGGGGUAAUGGCUCACCUAGGCGACGAUCCCUAGCUGGUCUGAGAGGAUGACCAGCCACACGGGAACGUAGACACGGUCCAGAAUCCUACGUGAGGCAGCAGUGGGGAAUAUUGAACAAGGGGCGAAAGCCUGAUGCAGCCAUGCCGCGUGUAUGAAGAAGGCCUUCGGGUUGUAAAGUACUUUCAGCGAGGAGGCGUUACUCGCAGAAGAAGCACCGGCUAACUCCGUGCCAGCAGCCGCGGUAAUAC